UUAGUCUCAGCUCUCAGCUACUGCUCUGACCUCUUGGGCUUUUAACUCUGCAUUUGGCUUUGUGUUUCUUAUUUAAUAAGACUGUUCAUCUACAUACAGGCUGAGAGAAAGGCAUUUGAGGCCAAUCCUGAUGACUUAAGUUCAAUCCCCAGAACAUACAAGGGAGAGGGAAGAAUUGACCCCUGAAAGUUGUUCUGACCUGCACAGGUAUGUACACACACACACACACACACACACACACACACACACACACACACACACACACACCAAACAGAGGGAGACAGGAAAAGAUGAAGGAUCCAAGGUUGUUCAACUGUUCCAACAUGCAAAGGUUAGUGCCCAGAUGCCAGUGGGAGAGCCUGAGACUCCAGCCAUCGUCUAAGAUCCUUUCAUUGACUUAGAACCUGUGAGUUUCCAUGAAGCGGAACGUCAAAGGUGUACACGGUCCUGCAGGUGAGUGGAGGAGGCUCCAGUCGCGUCUGGCAUCCCUCCUUGCUUUUCUGCAAUGAACAUCCAGAUCAAGAUUGCCAAGGAAGCUGGGCGGUGGUGGUGCACACCUUUAAUCCCAGCACUCAGGAGGCAGAGGCAGGCGGAUCUCUGUGAGUUCAAAGCCAGCCUGGUCUACAGAGUGAGUUCCAGGACAGCCAGGGCUACACAGAGAAACCCUGUCUUGAAAAAAACAAACAAUAGGACUGCAAAUGAGAUUUGGAAAGUCAUGUUUGAUAAGAACUGGGAAGAUAUCAAUUGGGUCAGGGGUCAGUGUUGCUACUCUUGACACUUUUCUCCUGGGGACUCCGUUGGGCAGGAAAACAUGGUUGUCCUGAGGACACAGACCUACCUCAUGAAAGUCACUUCAAAAGCUUGAAGCAACUUCCAGGCCUGACCGGGUGUUGACUUUGGCCCCGUCCAUCCACGUCAGAGUCUCUGCACAGCCUGUUUGAUCCAGUGCUCGCUGGCCUUGACAUCUACAGUGAAGGGGCUGGAGAGAUGGCUCUGCCCGUCAGAGCCCUGGCUGCUCUUCCAGAGGACCUGGGU